rnacentral:tRNA from 1 species
GGAUGUGGCUCAAGUGGUAGCGCGCUCCCCUGGGAUGGGUGCGAUCCUGGGUUCGAUCCUCCAGCACCA